UGGGGGAUAUUGCACAAUGGGGGAAACCCUGAUGCAGCGACGCCGCGUGAAGGAAGAAGUGCCCCGGCAUGUAAACUUCUGUCAGCAGGGAAGAAAAUGACGGUACCUGACCAAGAAGCUCCGGCCAAAUACGUGCCAGCAGCCGCGGUAAUACGUAUGGAGCAAGCGUUGUCCGGAAUUACUGGGUGUAAAGGGAGCGCAGGCGGCCAGGCAAGCCAGGAGUGAAAGACCGGGGCCCAACCCCGGGACUGCUUUUGGAACUGCCGGGCUGGAGUGCAGGAGAGGCAGGCGGAAUUCCUAGUGUAGCGGUGAAAUGCGUAGAUAUUAGGAGGAACACCAGUGGCGGAGGCGGCCUGCUGGACUGUGACUGACGCUGAGGCUCGAAAGCGUGGGGAGCAAACAGG
rnacentral:rRNA from 1 species